AUUUUCAAAUUUUGGAUAAUUUUUACUAUUAUUAAUUUUAAUCAAUUAUCUAAUCAAAUAAAUUAAAAUUUCAUUUUUAUUUUUUAAUUUAGUUAUACAUUUUAUUCAUUAAGGGUAUAAACGAUAUUAACUACUCUAACUUUUAACGUGAAAGCUCGAUUCUAAAAAUUUAUUUCGCAAAUAAUAGUAUAGAUUUGAGCCAAUAACAACCAAAUCUAAUGCUGAAAGAUUCACCAUCAGGUUAGAAAUCAGAACUCAAAUCUUUUCAAUGGGAUUGACCUUGUUUCAAGAUCUCACGAUUAUAUAUAUAUAUGCUCGUAAACAUUAAAAAUAUAUGCGCUAGCUACUGUCUUAAACAUAAUUUAAAAUUGAUCAAACUUGCAAUGACUAUAUAAUAUCAUUUUUAGUUCUUUUGGCAGCUACUUUUUAGUUUAUAAGCCUAAUAAAAUUCGGUAUUUUUAGUUUAUAUUUCUUGGAUGUGUGUUUUUGCUUGUAAUCUAACAAGAUGAUGUGUGUAACCUAACCACUAGAUGAUGUGUAUAUGUAAUAAUAGAUUGAAAUCAUUUAAAAUCACCUUAAGUGAUGUAUUUUUCUUUGGACUUAUAUAUAUGUAUAUGAUGUAUAUAUUUUUCAUUUUUCCACUAACUCUCUCUUGAUAAUCUCUUGAAGUCGUUGGAUAAAAUUUAAUGAUUUUAAAUUAAUGUUCUCCAACCAGUAAUCAACAAGUAAUACCUAAAAAGUUGGUUGCUUCCAUUUGGAUUUGUUAGAAAUUCAUGCCAUCAUUUAAUGCUUAAUUUAAUGCUUAAUUGCUUCUUUUUAACUCAUAGAAACGUAUUUCUCUGAUAGAUAUAUGCAAUCAAUUCUGAUAUUAAAUUUAACAGUUUACCUAAAAACAAUUCUGAAAUUAAAGUGAAGAUACUUGAAAUGUGAUUUGUUUGAAUUCGGGAUUGUUAAAUACGUAUUUCUUUUUCAACUACGUUUUUUCAUCAUUAAGUUCUUCGUUGCUUUUUAAAACAAGUUGUAUUUAAUUAAGAAUUUUACUAGGUAGUAAUCCAUGCUAAGCGCGCAGUAAAAUUGUUUAUUAGAUUAUUUAUUGUAUGUUGUACUAAAGGAUUUGUUGUAUAGUUUUUUCUCGGGAUGAGCAUUCAUAUAUCUGUUCGGAUUCAGUUAAUUUAUUCGGAUUUCAGAUUUUUAAGGUUAAAAAUUUAAAUCGUAUUCAAAUAUUUACAAAUUGUGGUUUGGAUUUCGUUCGAAGCAUUGCGGGUUUGGUUCGGAUUUGAGUUCGGAUAUCCAUUUUAAUUAUAUAUAUAUUUUUUAACAAAAAUCUAAUAUACUUAAUAUUAAAAUAAAAUAUUAUAAAACAUAGAAUUAGUUCAAUUUAAAUAUUUGGAUGGAGAACAAAUAAAUAUUUUCAGUAUUUUGAAUAUUUUUUGUUAUUUUUAGAUAUUUACUUGCGAUUAUUUUGAUAAUUUUUAGAUAUUUUCAUAUUUUUGAAUAUCUAAUAGAUGUAAAAUUUAAAAUAAUUAACAUAUUUAAAUAUAUAAUUACGACUCAAAUAUUUUUGGUAUCCACAAUAUUUUAGUUUGGAUCAGAUUCAGAUCUGGUUAUCUGGAUAUUAAACGUUUAGAGUACUUAAUUAGUUUAGUUUGUGUUUAACAUUGCUUUCAAAUCUAGUUCAGUUUGGUUCAUUGGAUACAGAUGUUUUACCUAGACUUACUUUCUUUGACUAAUAUAAAGCAAAAUAAAAUAAAUAUAAAAUAAAUAUUCUUGGUUUAUUUAACACACAUAAAUAUUGGAUUAUACUUAAAUACCAAUAAAAAUGGUUGAGAAUCGUGUCAAUAUUUUUGAGCAUGUUGCAAAAUUGACGUAAUCUAAAACCAAUAAUGUAUUUUCUUAUAAGACAUUAUUGAUAAAUAUAAUAAAAACACGAUACAAUUGAGUGAAAAGUGUUAGAGGUGCAUGGAAAAUAAUGUGAUCUCUUCACCCAACACCUGAAUUAUAUUUUUCAAUAGAUUUCCCAAAAAAAAAAAAGUUAAAGUUUUCUGAUUUUUUAUUUUUUUUUUUGCAGUCUGAUUAUGUUUCUAAUUUUUGGUCUGAUAUGAAAACUCCAUAAAGAAAAACAAUAUUUCGUUUAACUAAAGAUCUGACUUUGUGUGUGGUAUUUUUUACCUCAAUUUCUUUAAUUCAUAACCAAUCACAAUUAUUUAUUGAUUUCAUGUACAUAAGCCUCAACCAUGGCUAAGUUUGGCAAAAUACAAAAAAUUAAUUUCUAAAAACCUUAUGAUUCUAUCAUUUUAGUUGUUGUGAAUCUUAAUCAUUUUUUUCUUUCAAAAUGAUAUUAUUGAGUAGUUGUACGAAGAGAACUUUAGUUCACUUAAUACAAAUGUUAAAAAUGCAAGAACAAAAAAUGAAUUAAUUAAAAAAAUAUUAGUGUGAACACAUUAAAUUGUCUGUGAUAGAAUUAAAAAAAAAUCUUUUCUUCUUUUUCAAUUCCUCAAAUGAAUUUUUAUUUAUUAUUUUUUUUCAUUUUUUCCAUUCAUCUAGUGGUUACCAAUCCAAGUCAUAGUAUAUAUAUACAAGCAAUUCUUCGAUUCUUAGGCCCUGGCUGGUUACACCGCAAUGGUUGCGGAAGUUUGCAGAUGCGGGUGGUUGCAGUUUUAAGCGGUUCUAAGAGAUUUAUACGACUGGUACUGCGGUUAGAAAUUAGUGUGUUUGCAGGAUACUUACGACUGGUUAACCAUCGAAUACAACAUCGAUAAAAUAAUAAAUUAAAAAUAUUUACAUUUUAUAUAAUUAUAAGAAUACUAAACAUCAUAAUAUUAUAAUAAGUAAAAAAAAUAUUUAUAAAAAAAUAUUUUUUAGUUUUUAAAAGUUAUAGAAAAUAUUUUUAUCUUAAAAAAUUAUAAAAUAAAUUAAAAUAUAGCAGAUAUAUUUUAGUAUUUCUAUUAUUUCAAUUUAAAAAUUUUGUUUUUAUUUUUGAAUUUAUAUUGUUUCUAAAAAAAGAAAAACAAUUUACCCUCCUGCAACCGUAAAUGCUAGCUGGAACAAAAUUUUGAAUUUAAAAGGUUUAGGAGGUGUUAUUGGUUUAUAUAUUUUGAUUGAUUUAGAAAUCCAUAUAGUAUUUAUAAAUCCAAGUAAAAUAUGCAAAUCCGGAGGUUUUUCUUCGGAUUUAAGUCUUUGUAUUUUUAACUAAAAAAUCCAAACAAAUCCAUUCAAAUCCAUUAUAAAAUCAAAUAUAUUAGUAAAUCCGUACGAUUGAGUAACACUUGAUUUGAUAUAGAAUUUAUGAAUCAUUAAACCAAUAACACCUGAUUUUAAUACAGAUUUGAAAAUCACAGAAC